rnacentral:rRNA from 1 species
ACGGGAGGCAGCAGUGAGGAAUAUUGGUCAAUGGGCGAGAGCUUGAACCAGCCAAGUCGCGUGCGGGACGAAGGCCCUACGGGUCGUAAACCGCUUUUAUACGGGAAUAAAGUGCGCCACGCGUGGCGUUUUGCAGGUACCGUAGGAAUAAGGAUCGGCUAACUCCGUGCCAGCAGCCGCGGUAAUACGGAGGAUCCGAGCGUUAUCCGGAUUUAUUGGGUUUAAAGGGAGCGUAGGCGGGCCUUUAAGUCAGUGGUUAAAGCGUGUGGCUCAACCAUACCACGCCAUUGAUACUGGAGGCCUUGAGUGCACAUAAGGAUGGUGGAAUUCGUCGUGUAGCGGUGAAAUGCUUAGAUAUGACGAAGAACUCCGAUUGCGAAGGCAGCUGUCCGGGGUGUAACUGACGCUGAUGCUCGAAAGUGCGGGUAUCAAACAGGAUUAGAUACCCUGGUA